GGCACCUCCCCUCACUCUUCUGAGGACCUCUCACUCCUGGCUCUCAUCUGACCAGUAAGGAUAUCAAGGUAUUCAAGAUGUGUGUCCUAAUGUGACCCGACUACCCAACGCCCGAAGAAUGGCAAAUGAGCUGCUCUGUGGUCUUGUCUUUCGAUUCUUUCUCCCAGUCUGCCUACUGGCGGCAAUAUGUAUCCGUUUCAAUGGAUUUUCGGUCAUCUAUUUUAUCUACCUGAUGCUCGUCCCUCUUCUGUCAAAGCCCUCAUACACCACGAUGAAAGGCAGGUGUCUGUAAACUGCUUUACUAGUAGUAAUAGCUUGCUUUUAAUUAAAUAUUGUGUUAAUAUUAUACAGUACAGUUGUCUGCAGAUGUUUUAUUUAUGUUUUUUAUAUGAAUGGAUCAAAGCCUAAUUUUUGUUAUGUCUCUCCCUUCUUACCUGAUAGAUUUCAGGCUCUCCCACCUUCUCAUUCCCUAGUUCAUAGGACAACAGGCUAUUACAAUGCUUGU